AGCGAACGCUGGCGGCAGGCCUAACACAUGCAAGUCGAACGAACCUUUCGGGGUUAGUGGCGGACGGGUGAGUAACACGUGGGAACGUGCCUUUAGGUUCGGAAUAACUCAGGGAAACUUGUGCUAAUACCGAAUGUGCCCUUCGGGGGAAAGAUUAAUCGCCUUUAGAGCGGCCCGCGUCUGAUUAGCUAGUUGGUUGAGGUAAUGGCUCACCAAGGCGACGAUCAGUAGCUGGUCUGAGAGGAUGAUCAGCCACAUUGGGACUGAGACACGGCCCAAACUCAGACGGGAGGCAGCAGUGGGGAAUCUUGAGAAAGGGGCGAAAGCCUGACGAAGCCAUGCCGGGUGAAUGAGGAAGGUCUGAGGAUUGUAAAAUUCUUUCAACGGGGACGAUAAUGACGGUACCCGGAGAAGAAGACCCGGCUAACUUCGUG
rnacentral:rRNA from 1 species